GGACCCGCACAAGCGGUGGAGCAUGUGGUUUAAUUCGAAGAUACACGAAGAACCUUACCUGGCCUUGAUAUCCUAAGAAUCCUGUAGAGAUACGGGAGUGCUAGUUUACUAGAACUUAGAGACAGGUGCUGCACGGCUGUCGUCAGCUCGUGUCGUGAGAUGUUGGGUUAAGUCCCGCAACGAGCGCAACCCUCGUGUUUAGUUGCUAACAGUUCGGCUGAGCACUCUAAUCAGACUGCCUUCGCAAGGAGGAGGAAGGUGAGGACGACGUCAAGUCAUCAUGGCCCUUAUGGCCAGGGCUACACACGUGCUACAAUGGCUAGGACAAAGAGACGCGAUACUGCGAAGUGGAGCAAAUCUUAAAACCUAGUCUCAGUUCGGAUUGGAGUCUGCAACUCGACUCCAUGAAGCUGGAAUCGCUAGUAAUCGUAGAUCAGAUAUGCUACGGUGAAUACGUUCCCGGGUCUUGUACUCACCGCCCGUCACACCAUGGGAGUUGAAUUCACCCGAAGCCGGAAUACUAAACUAGUUACCGACCACGGUGGGUUCAGCGACUGGGGUGAAGUCGUAACAAGGUAACCGUAGGAGAACCUGCGGUU
rnacentral:rRNA from 1 species